GCCAGGCGCGGUGGCUCACGCCUGUAAUCCCAGCACUUUGGGAGGCUGAGGCGGGUGGAUAACCUGAGGUCAGGAGUUUGCGACCAGCCUGAUCAAAAUGGAGAAACCUUGUCUCUAUGAAAAAUACAAAAUUAGCUGGGCAUGGUGGCACAUGCAUGUAAUCCCAGCACUUUGGGAGGCUGAGGCGGGUAGAUAACCUGAGGUCAGGAGUUCGCGACCAGCCUGACCAAAAUGGAGAAACCUUGUCUCU
ensembl:misc_RNA Metazoa_SRP Metazoan signal recognition particle RNA